AAAACGACUCUCGRCAWCGGAUAUCUCRSUCUCAGCAUCGAUGAAGAACGUAGCGGAAUGAUGGANAUGGUGUGAAUUGMAGAAUCCCGUGAACCAUCGAGUCUUUGAACGCAAGUUGCGCCCCAAGCCGUUAGGCCGAGGGAACGCCUGUCUGGGUGUAACGU
rnacentral:rRNA from 1 species